rnacentral:rRNA from 1 species
AGGGUGUAAACGCUGCGGGCUUGGUGUUGGGGGUCCUUUGAGGGCGCCCAGUGCCGGAGAGAAGUUGUUAAGCCUGCUGCUUGGGGAGUACGUCCGCAAGGAUGAAACUUAAAGGAAUUGGCGGGGGAGCACCGCAACGGGAGGAGCGUGCGGUUCAAUUGGAUUCAACGCCGGACAACUCACCAGGAGCGACGGUUACAUGAAGGCCAGGCUGAUGACCUUGCCUGAUUUUCAGAGAGGAGGUGCAUGGCGUCAGUGACU